rnacentral:rRNA from 1 species
GACGAACGCUGGCGGCGUGCCUAACACAUGCAAGUCGAACGGUAAGGCCCUGCUUUUGUGGUGUGCUUGAGUGGCGAACGGGUGAGUAACACGUGAGUAACCUGCCUUGGAGUGGGGGAUAACUAUAGGAAACGGUGGCUAAUACCGGAUAGGAGUUCCUGUUGCAUGGUGGUGGUUGGAAAGGUUCGGCGGUUGGGGAUGGACUCGCGGCUUAUCAGCUUGUUGGUGGGGGAGUGGCUUACGAAGGCCUUGACGGGUAGCCGGCCUGAGAGGGUGACAGGCCACAUUGGGAUUGAUGUACGGCCCGGAGUGAUACGGGGGGCAGCGGUGGAGAAUAUUCCACAAUGGGCCGAAGCCUGAUGCAGCGACGCCGCGUGCGGGAUGACGGCCUUCGGAUUAUAACCCGUUUUAGCCUGUGACGAAGCGUGAGUGACGGUAAUGGGUAAAGAAGCCCCGGCUAACUACGUG